rnacentral:rRNA from 1 species
GACGAACGCUGGCGGCGUGCUUAACACAUGCAAGUCGAGCGGUAAGGCCCUUUCGGGGGUACACGAGCGGCGAACGGGUGAGUAACACGUGGGUGACCUGCCCUCAGCUCUGGGAUAAGCCUGGGAAACCGGGUCUAAUACCGGAUAUGACUCCAUGACGCAUGUUGUGGGGUGGAAAGCCUUGUGCGGCUGAGGAUGGGCCCGNGGCCUAUCAGCUUGUUGGUGGGGUGANGGCCUACCAAGGCGACGACGGGUAGCCGGCCUGAGAGGGCGACCGGCCACACUGGGACUGAGACACGGCCCAGACUCCUACGGGAGGCAGCAGUGGGGAAUCUUGCGCAAUGGGCGAAAGCCUGACGCAGCGACGCCGCGUGAGGGAUGACGG